AGAGAGAGACAUGCGCGCAUAUCAAUAAGCGGAGGAAAAGAAACUAACUAGGAUUCCCUCAGUAACGGCGAGUGAAGCGGGAAGAGCUCAAAUUUGAAAUCUUCAAGGUUCUACCUUGACGAAUUGUAGUUUAAAGAAGUGUUUUCUGUUGGAGUUUUGGUAAAAGUUCUUUGGAAUAGGACAUCAUAGAGGGUGAGAAUCCCGUAUUUGGUCAUUCCUCCUAGCGUUGUGAUACACUUUCAACGAGUCGGAUUGUUUGGGAAUGCAGUCCAAAAUGGGUGGUAAAUUUCAUCUGAAGCUAAAUAUUGGCGAGAGACCGAUAGCGAACAAGUACCGUGAGGGAAAGAUGAAAAGAACUUUGAAAAGAGAGUUAAACAGUACGUGAAAUUGUCAAAAGGGAAGCGUUUGACACCAGUGUUGUUUUUCCGAAAAUCAAUUACGAAUGUUUUGUUUUUGAGGAGUUAUGACUUCAUCGGCUUGCUUCUUUCUUUACGAAACUUUCUUAAUGCACUUUUCGGUUAACAAGUCAACAUCAAUUUCUUUUGUUGUAAAAGGGUAUGAGGAAGGUGGCUUUCUUUUCGGAGAAAGUGUUUAUAGCCUUGUGCCUCUGCAAUCGGAGAGAUUGAGGUCUGCAGCGUAGAUCCUUCGGGGUUAGAUACAUUUGUGCUAAGUUAUAGCCUUUCAUAGACAACUUGUUGACUAUGUUUAGUCUUGUAGCUUACUCGCUGACGCUAUUUUACCUACGCUUAGGAUGUUGAUAGUCACAGCGUGUAC
rnacentral:rRNA from 1 species